CUGGGGGGGGGGGUUCGGGGGAGCAGGCGUGCUGGAGCAGAGCAUGGAGAAAGCAUAAGUUGCUCUCUUAAAAGGUCCUCCCUCCCUCGCUGAAGUUCAAUAGUCCUAACACUCAAGUGAUAGAAUAGGACAAAUAAAAUCCGACCCAGGAUCCUUUGCACAGGUGUGUGUAUAUUUGAAUUGGUGGGAUUAUGUAAUUAAUUUGGCAGAGCCAGACUCUUACCACCAGGAAAUUAAGAAGGAGGUGGAGUUCUCCCUCCCUUUUGAAUACUUCUUGUGUCAGAUGCCCCCAUAUGCAGCAGCAGGAAUUAUCUGUGGGAAAAAGCUAAGUGGCAAGGUGAAUGAGAUCACCAAUCCUAAGGCCAGGGCCCCAGGGCAAGUCCUCCCGAAGCCCUCAGGGGAGUCUACCUUCCAGGUCCUUGCCUAGGCCUUGCCAGUAGCUCACCUAUGCGAUUUCCCGACCCUCCCCAUCCCUCACCCACCUCCACUGCUAUUCUUAGCUUAACUUCUCACGUGCCAGGGACUUGGUCCCCAUACCCAUCAACCUUCCUUAAAGAAACAUUUGUGUAUGUGUGUGAAAAAAUUUAUUAUUUCUAUCUUAAUUACUUCAUGCCUUUUACUAAGCCACUGCAAGACACUUUCUAGUAUUCCCUUCGUGCGUGGCUACUUGUGUGUGCAUGUAGUCUGUUUUUUUAAUUCCCUGCUUUUAAGAAAAGAAUCUUUUAAGGGAAGUAAUAGAAAACUACGUCUUGGAUUCGAAAGUUUACCUGCAAAGUGCCUCCGUGUUCCAAUGCUCCCCAAGCUAAAGUCAGCCUAUCAAAAAGCACUUCUAAAAUGGAAACUAUUAAAAUCGGGAUUAUUUUUGUGCUAAACCAAACAUAAAAAUGUGGAUGAUUCCUUUUGGGUAAUUUAUGAUUAGAUUUUAGAGUGGUUCACCUCACCCAAUCUUUAUUUUAAUGAGAAGAAAACUUUUAGUUGUCACCAUUUUUCCAUUUUUCGAAUCCAUCCCUUUGAAGAAGCCAGUAAGUAUGUAUGCUGCCAAAGGGAUAGAAUAUUGCGACUCAACUCGAUACUCUUCUUUAAGCCUUUUCAAGUCUAGAAAGGCAUAUCCAUGGAGUUUCCCAAAUGUUCAUCUAUUGGGUAUAGUCUUAAUUUAAAAUUAUAGACUAUGAGAACUAAUUUAUUUUUAUAUUUUUAUAUGACUAACGAGAUGGCUGCAUUUUGAAUAAUCCCCAAGCUAUGUCCAGAAUAGAGUUGCCAUUAAAGUGAUAUAAAGGGGAAAAACUAAGGCGCAGUGAGUUACGGCACCACUUGUGACGCUAAUAGAAUAGAGGAUCUAGUUGCUGAUGCGGUAAUAUAAACGAUAGAAAAAAAUAUAUAUCCCACGUUACUUAAUUAUUUCUGAUGAAUUGGGGAUAGUUAGUCAUAGUUGUAAUGACUCAAACAAACAAACAAACAAAUAAAUAAAUAAUGAACCAACAGACAAAUAAAAAGUGACCUCUAUCGAGAUUAGUUACGAUUAUAAGGGACACUGUCAGGCAAUGCUUGGCUGGGCUUUUUUCUUUUUUUUUUUUACCUUGGUAUUUACAUGACCCCAAACUGAGACUGCAUUAAUUGUCGCACAGACUGCAGAGAUUGUCUAAAUGCAAAGUCCUGUAAGGGAUAAACAUUGAGAAGAUUGAGCGUCUGUGAAAUAAAGUGUGUGUGGUAAAAUAGUAUUUUAACUGGCUCUGGCUAACAUAUUUUUGCUAAUAUAAUUUGAUUUUUUAACUUAUCAAAAUAAACAAGAAAAACAUUUUUAAAAUGAGAGCCGGUGAUAUUAAUUCUUAAAACAAAUACUAUUUAUUUGUUGAUAAAUAGUUGAUCUCAACAGCUGAAGACCACAUAGAUUCUCUUUGAAGGAACUGGCCUCAAGUUGUAAUCAGUUGGUCCUGGGCAGACUUGACUUUGAAACACAUUUUUAAGUGAACAGGUAAAACGAGUGUGCCCGAAUCUUGUGUUGUGUUGUUGUGUUGUGGUUUCACUUCAUCUUUACAUUUAAAAACUUUAGAUGACUCUAAGAUCAACUAUUAAGUGAUGACAUUUCAGAGCCAGACUUGUUUGGUUGGACUUUUCUUGAAAUCUCAUGAAGGUACCAGUCCGGACUUGAUUUUUUGUAUGAUAGUCACUUCAAUUACUAGAAAAAAAUAAUGCUGAAGACAUGAUGAAAAAAAAAAAGCCAUGGGAACCUAGGGUUUUAUUUUGUUUGUUUGUUGUUGUUUUACUGAAAAUUGUGGAACCUACUAAAAUUGAAUCUAGUUGGAAAUAAGUUGACAGUGCAAACCUUCAGGUAACUGAAUUUAAUUAUGCUUUUCAUUUUUAAAUGAGUUUUUAAUACCUGGUGUCCUAAAGCACCAAGAACUUGGGUCCCUUCCCCAGAGAAUACAGGAGCGAUUCUUUUAUUAGAAACAAACUUUAUCUCAUGGUCUCAAAUAAAAAAGUAAUUCUAUUAAAAUUCCAAGAAAUAUACAAUAGUUUAAAUUUAAAUAAUUGUUAAACAAUCUUUAAAAGUACCCUAUUCUCGCCCCCCCCUCCACUGCAAUAUAGCUCAAAUGUUGUACAUUACAUGUCCAUCUACUGAGAAUUCAUAAAUGUUUGUAUAGUUCUCAUAGGGAACAUCCUAAUGGCAUUAAAUGAACUUGUAAAUGUAUGUGCAUGUGUGGGUAGGGGUUGGUCUGAAUUUACUGUGAGAGUAAGCUGUGGAUAUAUGCUAUGCUGUACCACGGACCCACUGUGUGCACAUUUUUAAUUCCCUACAUACAUCCUCUAUGCUCUGUCAGAGUUUAAAAUGAAUUUGUGUUUUUAAAAUAUGGACAGAAUUGAAUUAAUAGGUUAUACAAUAAUCUAAUUGUUUAGAAGGGGAACAUUUUUUUUAUGCAACCAAAAAUAAUUUUUAACAAUAGCUUUCGUUCUUUUUGAAGACCAUAAUUGAAAUGAGGAGUCAUUAGCUUCUUUUAGUUGUUAUGAAAUAAUAUUUGUCAGGUAAUUGCAUCCUAAAACUUGUCAACUUUUCAAUAAGCAAAUAUUCACAACUUUAUAUCAAUAGAUAGAUAGUUAUGUAACUUUAGAACAACCAUAAUCUUUUUACUACAGUUCACAUACACAAAUUAGUUGUUUAUUGUGUCAUAGAGUACCAUCCUUUGAAUGGAGAAGGGAGGGUUAUCAUAAUACAAGCGCCAUUGUGUACAUUAACAGACUCUUAUGGAAGGAUGUAAUUGAAAAUAUAAGGGCUUUUCUUCCCCUUAGAAGCAGGUGGAUUUUUUGUUUUGUUUCCUUUUGUUUUGGCUAACAUUUUAUUGCAUGUCAUCUAUGAUGAUAAAUGUUAGCAUCAGAAUAUUGGUGCCUAUUAACCUUCUGUAAAAACAUAAGAUCUCACCUACAGGUCAAAAAGGAAAUGCAGAAGGAAAUUAUCAUGUUUGAAGUGGUGGUUAUUGAGAAUACAUUUGUCCCUUCACUUUUAGUGUGUUAGCGCUGGGAUUUUUCGAUAGUGUACAGUAGAUAGGGUCUGGGUCCUGUCUAUACUGUGUUCGUGGCUAUGUGGCUUUCUACAGGUCAUUUAAAAAAAAACCCACACCUCCCAUAUAAUCUCUCUGAAGCUCUAUUUUAAUGUAUUUAGCAAAGAACUACAGGCCUUCAGCAUGGAAAAGCACUAUCAUUUAUUUUAACCCAGUCACUCUAACGAAGCAUCUGUUGGUCACUUUGGGCAUCCCAUCCCCAGCUGAAAUCUGGGGGAAAAAAUACUUCAUAUCUUUUGCUAGAAAAGCAAACCGAAUGCCGCCAUCCAUGGUGAAAAUGUUUUCCAUUCUCCUUCCCCGCCUUCACCCCCUGAAACUAUUUUUCUUUUUAAAAGGAAAACAAAACAGAAAGCUCUUUUUGUCCUUGGGGGGUGAGGGUGGGGUGAGGUGGGGAAGAUGUUGACAGGAAGAAAUCCAGUUGAAGUAUUCAAUAGUACUAUCAGCUUGGUGCUCACGCACCUGAACCUGCCUUAGCCUGCCUUAGCAGUGCCCUGAAUCACUGGACUUUAUUUCCCGGGUCUGUUUUCCUUAGAGACUGAAUCUAGAGGUUAUACCUUCUUUCUCUCGCUCCGAGCCUUCGAGCGCACUCCCGAAAAUACACACACACACACACACACACACACACACACACACACACACACACACACACACACACACACACCCCGCUGUGAAAACAGGGGUGUAGUAAUAACGCGAAUAAAGACGGUUCUAAAGUUAAAGAUGGGCUAGUUGUAGGAUGGACUGGGAAACCGUGCUGUCUGGAUAGAGAGCAGCCGCUAAACGCAGGGCUAAGGCUAAAGUGCAAGUAUUAGGAGUAAAAAGAGCCAGGGAUGUUGUCGUACCAGAGUUACCCCCCUGGAUUUGGUGAGAACCCACAACAGCUGCAGGAGAUCCUACAUGGCAAUGAAAGUUCCUUCUAGAUCUCUGUGUGCCCCUAUAUUUCUUCCCCAUUUUCUCUCAUUUCGCUGUCUUACACACACACACACACACACACACACACACACACACACACACACACACACUCCUAUUCCUAACGUCUGCACACUCUUGAUAAGUGUAUAGAGAAACACAGGAAGGGGGUCCGGGCUUGCACAGGCUUUUGUACUUCUCUGGCUUUGGUCAUAUUGGAACUGACGCACCGGCUCCCCCUGGAAUUCUGGAGGCGUCUCAUUCAUAUUGGGUGGGGAACAAUUUAUUCCUCUCUGUCCCAUCCCAUCCCAUCCUACUCCACCCUGCCCCUCCCAACUCUCCUCCUCCUCCAUCUUCUUCACCAUCACCAUCACUUUCUGAUUCUCCACCUCUUCCUAUUUUUCUUUCUAGCGUUCUCUCUCUCUCUCUCUCUCUCUCUCUCUCUCUCUCUCUCUCUCUCUCUCUCUCUCUCUCUCUCUCUCUCUCUCUCUCUCGUCUCCUCUCCCUCCCUUUCUUCCUCCCUCGCUCCUGCCUCCCUCCCUCCUCCUCUCUUCCCCCCCCCCCUUCCUUUUUUUUCCUCCCCUCCUUCUCUCCACUGAAUUAUCAGGCUUUGGCUCUAAAAGUCACAAGUAAUCCUCAUGUGUGUGACUGUGAGAGUGUGUAUAUGUGUCGUGAUGAGAGGCUGACGAGAGGAGGCAGGAUGGCAGACUUUUGCACACAGACGGGGAGAGGGAACUUGGAGCUCCUGGGCCACCAUUUGCAUUGGCAUCAUUUGGGAUGACACUACAAUGAAGCAUAAAAUGAAUAGACAAACAGCACAAGCAAAGACCGGGGGCAGCAGCACGCCAGCAAGACGGCAUCUUCUUCUCCCCAGCCUAGGAGCCCUGUGAAAUCGAGGAUCUUCCCCCCUAAAACACACACACAAGAUAUUUGCAAUCAAGCUGCCUCCAUUUGGUAAAAGCUCACGGUGCAUAAUCCAAAAGGAUCAGGAGCAGAUCCUUGAAUCAGCUUGUCACUUCUUCUAUAAAAUGGGAUUUUUUUUUUUGGCCUCUUUACACUGCGCUGGAAAUUGUCGAUGGCUUUAUACAUCUCUAUAGAGGGAGGCUAAAGAGUCUUUCCUGAGAACGAAGCAAUUUACAAUGCAAAUAGAGGCCUGUGAAGGGAUGGAUGCUUCUCACUUUUAACAGCCUGAUGCACCCUAAUAGCUGGUUUUAUUUUCUGAUAUUAAUAGAUGAAUUGUUGAUUCUCGCUGCCGGAAAUUACUUGCUGAAAGAAAAAAAAAAGUUCGGAAUAAACUUUGAAGGCAACAGAUCUCCUUUGGAUGUGUAUUAGCUGCACACACACCCCAACCCCAAAACAGGUCACAGUUGCAAGAAAGGAUGCUUCUUUCAAAGCACUCUCUAGUAUUCUUGGAGGAAGCAACUCGUCUGAUUGUCUGAAGGAACCUGGGAGUCUGGAUUCUAGCAAGAGCCAAGUCCUGUGAGGGAAGUGAGUUGUUAUCUUUGGUUAUCUAGCUGUAUGAGUGUAUUGGUCUUCAUAAAGCUAGAUAACCGAAAGUAAAAACUCCUUCAAGAUCUUCGAGGAGCGUGUGAAAAUGAAAGAGCACUUCAAGAAACAGUAAAAACAAGAAAGGUCAGGAAUACUUAUUGAAUCUAACGUUUUUACGGCUAAAGGUGGGAUUAGAGGAAGUUAAAUGACACAAGUAGACCAAAAUAUGAAGUUGUCAGAUGCCUCGGGAUGAGUUGUUAAAAGCUAAAAACAAAUUUGUAGUUCUUAUGGGUAAACAAUGCAUGUCCAACUUUUACUGUUCUACGACAAAAGUUCUAUUUUAAGGGCUGGUCUUGGUUUUGUUUUGUUUUUGUUUUGUUUUAUUUUUUCCUAGAAAGAUGUGUAGAGGCUGUUGAGUAUCUAUUUAAAGAAUGACUUUAUGCAGUUAAAUGACUUAUACAGUAUAAGAUGCCCCCACCCACCCAAACCCUCCCCCGCAAAAGCACAAUUUGGAAAAUUUGUCUGGAAAUCUCUAAAACUGCAUUGGGGUUACAUUUCAAGUGACAUGAAAUCAGGCUUGCCAAAAAAAAAAAGUUUACACGGGUUUAGGGAAGGUUAAUAAUUUAUAUCUACUGAGGACUUGGUGAAGCUGCAGAAAAUGAGAGGAGGAAAAAAAGAGGGAUGGCUGAUUUUUAUUCUUCUAUUCAAAAUGCAAGGACAGAUGCUUCUCUGUUCCAAGAGGGUUUCCUUGAGGAAGCUACUGAAGCAGAAAGACAUGAUGGAGACGAGAUCGCCUCCCCCCUUGUCAAAGUGUUAAAAAAUGUUCUGUGUCUUACUCUGCGCCUAGCAUUGGAAAUGAAAGUGACAUUUACGCCAAAACCCACGUGUGCGCCUCCUCUUUUUUUGUUUAAGGAUGAUCAGAUCUAUCCAGGAAACAGCUCUGGCAUCCCAAACUGAAAUAAUUAGGACGUAUAUAGACCUGACAAAAAUGGAAAGGGGGUGGGGAAUCUGAGGGUCUGUCUUGCCUAAUUGAUUCCGCUAAACGGAAUGCAGGAGAUGUGAACGGCUGGACGCUCCUAUUCCCACGCUCGGGGGCAAGUGGUAAUGCCGCGCCCCGGCAGCCUAUGACAGACAGCCCUGUUGGGGGGUGGGGGUAUGAAAAAAACAUCAAGUGCACCACACCAUACUCAUCUCCAUCGCUUAAGAAAGUAGAGGCAUUUCCCACCCACAGCCAUCUGCAGGCUCCCAAGUGGGAACACCAACUGUUCUCUCGCUGCUGCAUACUGUCUGUUUCUGUUAAUUCUAUAACCACUGUUUAAUCUGCCCAUAAUUAAGUUUGGCUUUUCUUCUGGAGUUGAGAUUUCCAAUAUUUAGGAUAAAGAAAAAAAAAACCGAGCAUAAAGUAAUUCCAAGAAGUCUCCUUAUUUGUAAUAAGUCUGACUGCUCUUUGUGUCAAAUUGGCAGGUAUCAGAUUUUGGCCUUCCAAAGCAAGUUCGGGUUCUGGAAGGGGGAUUUGGGAGAGGGGAUGGGGGUGGGGGUGGGGGAAGAGGUUGUUGGUGUUGUUUUUAAUCCCUGUACAAAACAUUUAUCAUUCUACCUGCUAGAGAGUGGCUACCCCGACAAAUGUUGAGGCAGCAGCACUGUUCACAAAUGUAGAAGCUUUAUCUGAGUAUGCCACGACACAUACCCUAGAAUAAAACUGCAAAGUGUUCAACAUUACAGGAAGCAGAUUACAAUAACUCAAGGAUCAAAGGCUGUUUUGACAACCCACACUUAUAUGCAUUUCCAAUAAAGAGCCAUUUUCUUUAGUCUAAGAAUUACUAUUCUUAGAGGAGAACUUUGGAGGCUUCUUGGAGGCUUGUGUCGCUAGUGUAUCUUUAAACACUUAUGUUUGUCCACAAAUCAUGUAGUAAAUACAUAAACCUGCAUAUGUGCUUAAAUACAUAUACACAAACCAUGUACAUAUGCAGGGAGAAAAAUCAUGACCAAAAUGGCGUGUUGCCUCCCAAAUGGGCCUACAUGACUUUCAGUUCAAAAUGCAGCCUCCCCCCCCCAAAAAAAAAAUAAAUAUAUUUUUUUUUUCUUAGGAGACAUUUUCCUUGGUAGUUUUAGCUCCUGGCAAUAUUUAGGCCUCUAGGAGUAUUCUAUUUUCAGUUAGCACUAUGGCAGACUUUAUUUACAUAAAUUCCCACUUUGGCUGCAAUACACGUGCCAAACUUUUACUACUGUAGUGACCGAGGAGAAGACCCUUGUUUAUUUACAUUUGAAGCUCUGUUUGUGCAAACAACCUUUCAUUGUUAAGUGCCUGUAUGCCUUUCAUUUACUUCAUGUCCAGGGGUGCUAUUUACCUAGAGCCAUUGUCUACUACAAUUAACAUUUACAUUACAAAGUGUGUGGUUUUCUUUCUCAAGGAGGUUCAAUUAAGGCAAUAAGAUGUUUGCUGGGGAAACCUAUUGUUUACUGAAAGCACUCAAUGGAGUCAAAUUACUUAAGCUUUUGCUUGCGUCUUGGUCUUUUAUGUAAAUGUGUUAAAUAUAACAUCUAAGGAAAAUAAACAAUAUUAUAAUUAUGUGUUUGCCAUUGUCAUAUCAAACUUGCUUUGUACCAUACUAAUGUUACAUGACUAUCAAUCAAUAAAAUACAUUUCAAUGUUA